GACGAACGCUGGCGGCGUGCCUAAUACAUGCAAGUCGAACGAGAGCGCCCGGUGCUUGCCCUGGUCAAUCUAGUGGCGAACGGGUGAGUAACACGUGGGUAACCUGCCCAUCAGAGGGGGAUAACAUCCGGAAACGGAUGCUAAAACCGCGUAGGUCUUCGAGCCGCAUGGCUUGAAGAGGAAAAGAGGCGCACGCUUCUGCUGAUGGAUGGACCCGCGGUGCAUUAGCUAGUUGGUGAGGUAACGGCUCACCAAGGCCGUGAUGCAUAGCCGACCUGAGAGGGUGAUCGGCCACAUUGGGACUGAGACACGGCCCAAACUCCUACGGGAGGCAGCAGUAGGGAAUCUUCCGCAAUGGACGCAAGUCUGACGGAGCAACGCCGCGUGAGUGAAGAAGGUUUUCGGAUCGUAAAACUCUGUUGUUAGAGAAGAACAAGUGCUAGAGUAACUGUUAGCGCCUUGACGGUAGCUAACCAGAAAGCCACGGCUAACUACGUG
rnacentral:rRNA from 1 species